rnacentral:ncRNA from 1 species
UAACAAGUAACGAUGAGGACAACCAUUCUAAUUGGUGAUUACAGAGAAGGAGGGGUAGCUGCGAACCUCCGAAUCGAAAAUUAGAAAUCGGACCACCUCUAAACUGCUGUCAGGAACGCUUUUGCAACUAUUGACAGCCGGCUUGCCUCGUUAUUGGCAACAAGAGUGAAGCUUUUUUAGCUUCAGAAUCUUGGGUGGAACCACGAGCGUAAACUCGUCCCUUGA